ensembl:lncRNA
CCAUAAUUUCAACGCCUCGCCACGGACAAACCGUUCGAGAUAUCAAAAAUAUCUUCGCAAUUUAGCAUCCCCAAUGUCUUGAGAUCAUGUUCACCGAGUUUUGUGGCGAACGGGUGGAGUUCCUCAGAGGAGUAUAUCAAAUUCCAGAGCAUGUGUUUUUCACAAAACCCUAAAUAGCCAACUUCCUGUUGGGUGGAGCUUAUGACAUGCAGUGCGAAAGUUGUUUGGUUUAAUGAGAUCUACAUGUGUACCGAGUUUCAUAUGUAUACGUGUAAGUAUGGAUGAUAUAUGGCCCUCAAUAUUCCAGGGGGCGCUGUAGAGCCCCUGUGCCACGCCCGUGUACCAGUCUCUGCCCGGCCCUAAUGGCCGCAGAUUCCAAGGUGUGUGCCAAUUUUCAAGACUUUUUAAGCAUGUUAAGGGCCCCAAAAGCCCCCGAACCCUUGGAAAAAAAUUAGAGGAAUAAAGAAAGAAAAAAAAAAAUUAAAGCUGCAAGCAGCGAUGAACGGGCCCUCGCACCCGGGCUCACCGCCAUCGUGUGGCUUUAGUAAAAAGGUGAACGGUGAGAAAUAUGCAUUUAAAGUCGUAAAUAUAAGUGGAAUAUGUCAAAGUCAUUUAUAUGUGCCAAUUUUCCUGUUGCCAGCAGGUGGCGCUAUCAUUAUAAUGGAAUAUUGGCCUUCAGAAUUGUUCAGGCCAGGACUCUUUUCGAACAUGUGAAGUUUGGGGAAGAUCAAACAUUUUAUGCCUGAGUUACACCAACUUCUCUUCCUUUGGCGAGACAUAAAAUUGUGUCACAGCGCCAUGGACACGCGCUUUAACAAAAACUCAAGAUCUCCACAAUUCACUAUUCCAAAGGCCUUUAGACUAGACUGACCAGAAAAAAAUAUUGAUGUCAUAAAAUUUCUAGGAGUAGUUCGUUACAGCGUAAAACAUGACACUUCCUGUUGCCAGCAGGUGGCGCUAUGACUAUAACUGAAUAUGGGCAUGUAGAUCUGUUCAGGUCAGGAGUCUUAUCAAACAUGUGAAGUUUGUGGCAGAUUGGACAUUGUAUGUCUGAGUUAUAGCAACUUCAUUUUUCAUGGCGAAUCAUCGAAAUUCGUCAGGCCGCCACGGACACGCCCUUCAACGAAAACUCAAGAUCUUCGCAAUUUAACAUCGCAAAGGCCUUUAGAUCAGGCAUACCAAAUUUGGUGUUGAUCUGAAUAAAUCUCUAGGAGGAGUUCGUUAAAAUACAAGGCAUGCAAAUGACAAAAAUGAUGCAAAAUUUGCUCAUAAAAUUAAAAAUAACCGACUUCCUGUUGGGUUUCGGAUAUUGCUCCAAGAGUCUUUUUUGUAGGUACUGAUGCUUUACAUAUGUGUGCCAAUUUUCGCGCAUGUACGUGAAACACAGCGGGAGGGCUGUUGAUUUUUUUACGGUAGGUGGCGCUGUCGAGCCAUUUUGCCACACCCUCUUCUGAAACCUAUAUUAGACGUAAAUUUUCACCAGGUCUGACGCGUGUGCAAAGUUUCAGGACUUUUCGAGCAUGUUUAGGCCCUCAAAAAUGCGAUUCAUUUUGGAGAAGAAG